rnacentral:piRNA from 1 species
UCCACGGAGAAGUGCUAAACCCCAAAGGGUA